GGCGGCGUGCCUAAUACAUGCAAGUCGAACGAGUUCUCGUUGAUGAUCGGUGCUUGCACCGAGAUUCAACAUGGAACGAGUGGCGGACGGGUGAGUAACACGUGGGUAACCUGCCCUUAAGUGGGGGAUAACAUUUGGAAACAGAUGCUAAUACCGCAUAGAUCCAAGAACCGCAUGGUUCUUGGCUGAAAGAUGGCGUAAGCUAUCGCUUUUGGAUGGACCCGCGGCGUAUUAGCUAGUUGGUGAGGUAAUGGCUCACCAAGGCGAUGAUACGUAGCCGAACUGAGAGGUUGAUCGGCCACAUUGGGACUGAGACACGGCCCAAACUCCUACGGGAGGCAGCAGUAGGGAAUCUUCCACAAUGGACGCAAGUCUGAUGGAGCAACGCCGCGUGAGUGAAGAAGGCUUUCGGGUCGUAAAACUCUGUUGUUGGAGAAGAAUGGUCGGCAGAGUAACUGUUGUCGGCGUGACGGUAUCCAACCAGAAAGCCACGGCUAACUACGUGCCAGCAGCCGCGGUAAUACGUAGGUGGCAAGCGUUAUCCGGAUUUAUUGGGCGUAAAGCGAGCGCAGGCGGUUUUUUAAGUCUGAUGUGAAAGCCCUCGGCUUAACCGAGGAAGCGCAUCGGAAACUGGGAAACUUGAGUGCAGAAGAGGACAGUGGAACUCCAUGUGUAGCGGUGAAAUGCGUAGAUAUAUGGAAGAACACCAGUGGCGAAGGCGGCUGUCUGGUCUGUAACUGACGCUGAGGCUCGAAAGCAUGGGUAGCGAACAGGAUUAGAUACCCUGGUAGUCCAUGCCGUAAACGAUGAAUGCUAGGUGUUGGAGGGUUUCCGCCCUUCAGUGCCGCAGCUAACGCAUUAAGCAUUCCGCCUGGGGAGUACGACCGCAAGGUUGAAACUCAAAGGAAUUGACGGGGGCCCGCACAAGCGGUGGAGCAUGUGGUUUAAUUCGAAGCAACGCGAAGAACCUUACCAGGUCUUGACAUCUUUUGAUCACCUGAGAGAUCAGGUUUCCCCUUCGGGGGCAAAAUGACAGGUGGUGCAUGGUUGUCGUCAGCUCGUGUCGUGAGAUGUUGGGUUAAGUCCCGCAACGAGCGCAACCCUUAUGACUAGUUGCCAGCAUUUAGUUGGGCACUCUAGUAAGACUGCCGGUGACAAACCGGAGGAAGGUGGGGAUGACGUCAAAUCAUCAUGCCCCUUAUGACCUGGGCUACACACGUGCUACAAUGGAUGGUACAACGAGUUGCGAGACCGCGAGGUCAAGCUAAUCUCUUAAAGCCAUUCUCAGUUCGGACUGUAGGCUGCAACUCGCCUACACGAAGUCGGAAUCGCUAGUAAUCGCGGAUCAGCACGCCGCGGUGAAUACGUUCCCGGGCCUUGUACACACCGCCCGUCACACCAUGAGAGUUUGUAACACCCGAAGCCGGUGGCGUAACCCUUUUAGGGAGCGAGCCGUCUAAGGUGACAAU
rnacentral:rRNA from 2 species